UCUGUCAAGUCGGAUGUGAAAUCCCCGGGCUCAACCUGGGAACUGCAUUCGAAACUGGCAGGCUAGAGUCUUGUAGAGGGGGGUAGAAUUCCAGGUGUAGCGGUGAAAUGCGUAGAGAUCUGGAGGAAUACCGGUGGCGAAGGCGGCCCCCUGGACAAAGACUGACGCUCAGGUGCGAAAGCGUGGGGAGCAAACAGGAUUAGAUACCCUGGUAGUCCACGCCGUAAACGAUGUCGAUUUGGAGGUUGUGCCCUUGAGGCGUGGCUUCCGGAGCUAACGCGUUAAAUCGACCGCCUGGGGAGUACGGCCGCAAGGUUAAAACUCAAAUGAAUUGACGGGGGCCCGCACAAGCGGUGGAGCAUGUGGUUUAAUUCGAUGCAACGCGAAGAACCUUACCUG
rnacentral:rRNA from 1 species